rnacentral:lncRNA from 1 species
UAGUUCUCUUGCUUCCCUGCUGGACUGUAAACUCCCUGAGGCCAGGGAUUGUGCCAAUCCUGUUCACUGUUGCAUUUUUAGCACUAACAACAGCACUUCAAACAAUAUGGGCAUUCAUCUAUUCAAUAAAUAAGGGGUGCACAAUGGACACAAUUUCCUGCCCUCCCAGAGCAUCUGAAUGAAUGAAUGAAUGAACAAAAGAUGCAUUACUCUUAGCUUACUAAUGUAAACUCAAAUCGCUGGCAUCCAGUGACUUGACAAUAUAUAUUUAUGAAUAAAUAACAUUUUUCAGAGAGUUUCCAUGGUUCCGUUGGGCUUAAUGCAGUCUUCUAAGUAUGUCCUCCAAACGUAUCAGCCUCUGCCAGGGGACAGUUGGCAAUGUCUGAAGACAUUUUGGUUGUCACACUGAGAGGGUGCUUCUGGCAUCUAGUGAGUAGGGCCUAGGAUGCUGGUAAACAUCCUGCAUUGCAUAGGACAGCUGCCGGCAACAAAGCUUAUCUGGACCAAAAUGUCAGUAGUGCUGAGGUUGAGAACCCCUGGGCCAUAAUGCCAGCCAGCUGUCUUCCAGGGAAGUGCAUCCCUGUCAUCAUAAAAUAAACACAACAACU